UACGGAGGGUGCAAGCGUUACCCGGAAUCACUGGGCGUAAAGGGUGCGUAGGCGGGUCUUAAGUCAGGGGUGAAAUCCCGGGGCUCAACCUCGGAACUGCCUUUGAUACUGUUAGUCUUGAGUCCGGAAGAGGUGGGUGGAAUUCCUAGUGUAGAGGUGAAAUUCGUAGAUAUUAGGAAGAACACCGGUGGCGAAGGCGGCCCACUGGUCCGGUACUGACGCUGAGGUGCGAAAGCGUGGGGAGCAAACAGG
rnacentral:rRNA from 1 species